rnacentral:rRNA from 1 species
UACGUAGGGUGCGAGCGUUGUCCGGAAUCAUUGGGUUUAAAGGGUCCGUAGGCGGCCUUAUAAGUCAGUGGUGAAAUCUCCUAGCUCAACUAGGAAACUGCCAUUGAUACUGUAGGGCUUGAAUUAUUAGGAAGUAACUAGAAUAUGUAGUGUAGCGGUGAAAUGCUUAGAGAUUACAUGGAAUACCAAUUGCGAAGGCAGGUUACUACUAAUAUAUUGACGCUGAUGGACGAAAGCGUGGGUAGCGAACAGG